GAUGAACGCUGGCGGCGUGCUUAACACAUGCAAGUCGAGCGAGAAGUUUUUAAAAGAUUCUUCGGAUGAAAUUUAAAAUGGAAAGCGGCGGACGGGAGAGUAACGCGUAGGCAACCUGCCCCAUACAAGGGGAUAGCAUUUGGAAACGAAUAUAAAUACCUUAUGAAACUUAACUAGUGCAUGCUAGGUAGGUCAAAGAUUUAUCUGUAUGGGAUGGGCCCGCGUCUGAUUAGCUAGUUGGUGAGGUAACGGCUCACCAAGGCGACGAUCAGUAGCCGACCUGAGAGGGUGAACCGCCACAUUGGAACUGAGACACAGUCCAAAAUCCUACGGGAGGCAGCAGUGGGGAAUAUUGCACAAUGGGGGAAACCCUGAUGCAGCAACGCCGCGUGAACGAUGAAGGCCUUUGGGUCGUAAAGUUCUGUUCUAGGUGAUGAAAACGGACAGUAACCUAGGAGAAAGCCCCGGCUAACUCCGU
rnacentral:rRNA from 1 species